rnacentral:rRNA from 1 species
AUUGAACGCUGGCGGCAUGCCUUACACAUGCAAGUCGAACGGCAGCGGACCUUCGGGUGCCGGCGAGUGGCGAACGGGUGAGUAAUAUAUCGGAACGUACCUUUCAGUGGGGGAUAACGUAGCGAAAGUUACGCUAAUACCGCAUAUUCUGUGAGCAGGAAAGCAGGGGAGUCGCAAGACCUUGCGCUGAUUGAGGGGCCGAUAUCAGAUUAGCUAGUUGGUGAGGUAAAGGCUCACCAAGGCGACGAUCUGUAGCGGGUCUGAGAGGAUGAUCCGCCACACUGGAACUGAGACACGGUCCAGACUCCUACGGGAGGCAGCAGUGGGGAAUUUUGGACAAUGGGCGCAAGCCUGAUCCAGCCAUGCCGCGUGAGUGAAGAAGGCCUCGG